ACAAUUCUCGUGAUCUUUCAAAAAAAAAAAAGCUCAAGCGGCCAACCCAAAUGCUAGGUUGUCACAUGUAGGGCUAAACUUCAUUCAUACCUCAAGCAGCCAACCCAAAUGCCAGGUUGCCACAUGUGGGGCUAGCAAACCUCUAUCUUAACAAUUUGGCUGUAUGAGCCAAAUUGUCAUUGGGAGCAUAAUACACCUGGUGUUUGGGCAGCAUGGAAAACAGAACCUGCAUUAAAUGGCCAUUUGCUCUUCUUCUUUUUUCUUUCUUUUUUUCAUUUUUUCAAUUCUUCCACCCAGAAGCACAAGUCAGAUGAGAACUGUUUUGUAGCACAUCUCAUCACCCUCGGGAACUGUGGUCACCCAAAUAGAUUCCACAUGCCUCUCAUUCAAGGUAGUGGAGUCAUUUGAUCCUCUUGCAGAAUAUGAGAACUAGAGAGAGAAGGUAGUGGAGUCAUUUGAUCCUCUUGCAGAAUAUGACAGUUGAUAUGCAGAUGCUCAAAUUGUACAUGUGACAUACAUAACUCAAAUUAAACCAACUAAAUUAUCGAACCCACUGUCCCGUAGUCAGUCCCAAAUUCAGGUUGGUUGAAUAAUCUAACCUCUGAUUCGUGGCCACGUGUAGUUUAAACAUCCAAUAAUUGUGUGAUCAUCAAAUAACCAGAAUUUUUUACUCAUGAUAUAUCCUUAAUCUGUUACCCAUUACUGGGACAGUUUAAUUUGAAUUGUCUGCAAUUUGAUGCAAUUUCUAAGGGGGCGUUUGGAUCGUAAGUUGCUUAAGAUAAACAAAUUAUUCCACAAGUAGCUUAUCUUAGUUUCUACUUAAUAAGAAGAUGAAUAUAUUUGGGAAACAACAUACAUACUUAUCAGCUUCUCCUCUCUCUCCUGAUGCCUCUCUUCAGCAACUUAUGAAAAGUAGAAGAGCUAAAAAAAUUAACUGAAGGGAUUAUGUACUUUUAAGUAAAAAAGUUACUUGUAACUGAUCAUAAAACAAACUUACUCAUCUGAAAUAAGUCACUUGUCUACUGCUGUAAGUAGAAAAAGUAACUUGGUAUCCAAACAGACCCUAAGUGGCUGUGUAGCAUCCAUCAGUCUUCCAGAGCAUCAAAGACUUCCUGAAGAUGAAAUCUCUUUCUGAUUGACAUUCAUUUGGCUGGAUUUGUAUGAAU